UGGGGAAUAUUGCACAAUGGAGGGAACUCUGAUGCAGCAACGCCGCGUUCGGGAUGACGGCCUUCGGGUUGUAAACCGCUUUCAGCCAUGACGAAGCUUUUGUGACGGUAGUGGUAGAAGAAGCACCGGCUAACUACGUGCCAGCAGCCGCGGUGAUACGUAGGGUGCGAGCGUUGUCCGGAAUUAUUGGGCGUAAAGAGCUUGUAGGCGGUUUGUCGCGUCGAUAGUGUAAACACGCAGCUUAACUGUGUGCCUGCUGUCGAUACGGGCUGACUAGAGGAGGGUAGGGGAGAAUGGAAUUCCCGGUGGAGCGGUGGAAUGCGCAGAUAUCGGGAGGAACACCAGUGGCGAAGGCGGUUCUCUGGACCUUUCCUGACGCUGAGAAGCGAAAGCGUGGGUAGCAAACAGG
rnacentral:rRNA from 1 species